GUCUUUUUGUUAAUAAUUUAAAGUUUAAUUUGCCCACUGAGAAUUUUUAAAGGGCUGCAGUAUAUUGACUGUACAAAGGUAGCAUAAUCAAUAGUCUUUUAAUUGAAGACUUGUAUGAAUGAUUUGAUGAGAUAUAAACUGUCUUUUUUUUAAUUAUAGAAUUUAAUUUUUUAGUUAAAAAGCUAAAAUUUUUUUAAAAGACGAGAAGACCCUAUAGAGUUUAAUUUUUUGAUUUUUAUUAAUAUUUUAAAAAAAUUAUAAUUAAUAAAAAUUAAAAAAUUUUGUUGGGGUGAUAGAAAAAUUUAUAAAACUUUUUUUAAAAAAUUAACAUUGAUUUAUGAUUUAUUGAUCCAUAAAUUAUGAUUAAAAGGUUAAAUUACCUUAGGGAUAACAGCGUAAUUUUUUUUUUUAGUUCAAAUAAAAAUUAAAGUUUGCGACCUCGAUGUUGGAUUAAGAUAAAAUUUAAAUACAAAAGUUUAAAAUUUUGAUCUGUUCGAUCAUUAAAAUCUU
rnacentral:rRNA from 1 species